AUUGGAAUGCAGUGAUAGAUUAUUGGUUUCUUAGAAAUCUUGUUUUGUUUGGUUCUUUGAUACCUCUAUUAGAAAGUUCUAUUACAUUUCUUACUCAGUGAUAUACUAAUGAUCUUCAAUUUAUUGAAUGAUGAGAUUAUUUUAGUGCAUUGCGAGGUAGAAUGAGAGUAACAAAUCAAUAGAACGACAAAUAUAUGUUAUGUUUUUAUUAGAAACUAGACUCAUCAUAGGAUGUUUGAAACUAUUAAGAAUAACAUUUGCAAUCAACCUAAUGUGCCAAUUACUGAAAUUUAGGAAUACGGAAUUUUCAUUGUUAUCAGUCAUGUAAUAGAUGAUUAAAGAUGUCGAGCGAGAGCCGCGGAAUAGGCUACAUUAAAUGCGUCGAGUGAGCCAAAUCUCCAAAAUCAAGAGCUUGGAACGAGAAAUAGAUCAUCCACAAAAAAGAACCUUGAUUCUUAGUUUGAGAGACUUGCUAUCACUAUUUCCUUUUUUCAGAUGCUAGUUCUGCAUUUUAGAAUUUUUUAUGCUGAUUGUGGUUUUAGGUGGAAGUGCGACUUCGCCAUUCUAAAAGUUAGGUAUCUUUCUUCAACAUUGAGAAACAACUGUUUCUGACGGUACUGGCAAGGACGAGCUGCCAAGGUACUCCUCACCUGGCUAACCAUAGAUAAGUCAAAGAGGUAUCCCUGAUUGAACUCUUUAGGUUGUAGUUGACUAUUGUGUCUUACAACCGUUCCCUUUUGCAAAUCAUGCUUUCAUUCCUUCCAUACAGUCCUAAGUUAAAAAAUCAGUUUUGGACUAAGAAUCACAUAAACAUAACUGUACUCUUAUUAUGCCGGUUGCCAAAGGUUUAUCGGAGGAUAAAUAGGCACAAAAACUAGCCUUGCAAUGUUGCCUUGAACUGUAAAGUUCAAGGACCUGUAUGAGAAAAGCACCAUGAUUUUCUAAGUCGUUUAUUUUGUAAGACAUCUCUGGAUCAAAAAUAUGCGUGUAAUCUUGUACCUGUCAAAGACUCCCUCAGACAAGAGCCCAACAUUUUAUUAAUCCGUGUCCAAUUUAGAUCAUAACAGAUAUAGAAUGAUCCAGUGUGGGUUCAAUAUCUUAAUUCAGUUCAUGCAUUUAUCUGAGGCAGAUCGGAUGUUCUGCGCAUGUUCUUAUUUGUUUAAAUGUUUAUAUGAUAUAGGAAAUUUGGUUCAGUACUAUUUGCAUUGCCUAAAGGAACAUUGAGGCUUGUUAGAUCUGGCAAAAAGGUAACAGAUAUCAUUUUCUGAUUGUGCAGCUAGAAGCUAAUAAUUCAUGUUAUUUGGGAUAUACUUUCAUACUCUUAAAUGGUUGUUUCUUUCUGUUUAUAUAUAGUCAAGGGGAUUCAUGAUUCGUCUAAGUGAUGUCACAGAUCUUAGCCAUGGAUGAAUUUCCAAAUGAAGCUUUUAUGUCAUAGUUAUCCUGAUAGACGAACCACAAUGUGUUUUUUGUUCUAGUUUAUUGUGUGCUUUACAUAUAAAGGCAACUUUGCCGAGGUGAUCAGGAUAAUGUAUUGAUUUCCUCUUUUUCCCUGUUGCCUAUAUUGAUCUGGCUAUGAUUUGUUUUUUUGGGGACAAUGAAAUACGUAUUUGUUGUCCAACAUCUGUACAUAGUGAAUAUUUUAGCUGAGAAACUUGUGUUACUAUAUUUUUCUACAAAGAAUUUCACGACUGAUGUAUACUUUAGUGCCUCAUAUUGUUUUCUCCCUUUCCGCCGAGGUCAUCAAUAACUAUUUGGUUUCCUCUUUUUCCCUGUUGCUUAUACAUAUUGCUUGGGUAUGCUGUGAUAUCUGGUGUCAUCAAUGUUUUGGUCAUUGAUCCUGGUGUUUUGUAGCCAAAUAAUAUACACAAAAGCGUACUGGAUGUGUUUAUUAGAUCUUAUGACUUUUUGGUAGAGGUGAAACUUUGCCGAGGUCAUCAAUAUUCAUUUGAUUUCCUCUUUUUCCCUGUUGCCAAUAUUUUACUUGGCUAUUCUAUAUGAUUUUUGGGAAAAAUUAUUUUAGAUAGUUUGUCUAGUCUUAUUUGUUGGCAAUAUCUUUGUUUCUGAACACAUACUAGUCCUGGUUGAGUUUCUGUGAUCUGAUGAGACACAGAUAGACGGGCAGCUUUGCUGAGGCUAUCAAUUACAUUUGGUUUCCUCUUUUUCCCUGUUGCCAAUAUUCUAGUUGGCUAUGUUUGGUUAGGUUAUGUUUUCGUCUCAACACUGUCAAAGAUAGGUAGACUUUCACCUGUUCUUUUCUGGUUAUGAACAAUUCAAACUUUGUUUACCGAGGGAAGAGUUUUUGUAUGACAUGUAUCAGGUUUAGUAAGUCGUCAAGUAUCGUUUUGAACUGUGCCCUAGUGAUGAUUACUUAACAGAAGCUAUGGGUUUAACAUCCAAGUGAGGCUCUUUUGUCAUAGUUACUCUGAUGGGGCAAGUUGGUAAUUAAUAUGCUUUUGUUAGUACAUAUGCUUUUGUCAUAGUUCCUUGAUGUGUGAGUCUUAAACCUUGAUAAUUCUUUGUGAUUUAAAAAUGCUCCAUUUUAUCUAUUCUCGAAUUUAUAUAGUGAUUAUUCUUGUUCUGCCAUUAUCAUGUUCCGCUUACUGAUGUAUUUUUUGUAUUUUUUUUAUUGCAAUCGUCGGAUAAUGGAGAGUAUAUGGUUGGAGAAGCCAAACUUGAUGAAGAGUUUUGGGCAUCAGCAGGUUGAAGCACAAGGACUUUAUGAAGAUCCAUCACACAACCAGUUCUUAAAGCAAUACGCCAAGCAGGAAAGGAAGGCGAUAGUGUGCUUAUUGCCAUGCUUAAAAAUGUCAUUGGAACACUGGAUUUUCGUGGCAAGUACCUGUCACAGGGGGAGACAUAUCCUGAGGAACUUUGGAAGCCUGUGAGUUCAUUUAGCACCUUCAAAGAAAGAGGAUCACAGAAAUAUGGCAUAAUCUCGAGUGUAACUGUAACCGAAGUCAACAAGGUGUUUGAAGCAGCAUGCUGAAGUUUGAAUCUGCAAAAGAAGAUGGUAAGACUAUCCAUCCCUCCGUCCUUUGACUGCUUAAGUUCUCUUCCAGUCAUCUAAAUUGCACGCUAGGAAACCACCAUUGGCACUGUACAGAAAGAUGGGAUUUGAGAUACUUGCAGAGGCGACUCCUCAUCUGGAAGAACAUAACCUAUACCUCUGCAGCAUAAAUCUGUGGUUACAUUUUACUCAUUCUUGAAAACUAACAAAGGUUUUGUUCGAAAUGUAAAGUUCUGACAAUAGUAUUCAGUGAGACCUAGCAUAAAAAAAUGGUACAUACGGAACCGUUCAUUGUAAAGUCCAUAUAAACAAGUGUGGCAAAUAUUCAAAUAUAGGAAUAGUUAUCAGGGGAAUAGUUAUCGAGAUUGUUAGUUACUCUGCAUUCUAUGCCGAGAAUGAGCUGUUUGAGUUGCUCAUAUCCAAUUUGUCUGAUAUGGUCGGAAGCCUUGAGAGCGAGCAAAAGCAACCAGUUCUUAAAAGUUUGCAGUGCAUUUUGUUAUGGUAGGUGGGAAUGGUAAUGGUUUCAGGGUGAAACGGGAUGCGACAGGAUGAUAGAGAUAAAGCAUGAAGGUGCUAGGUUGCUUCCGAUGUCAUUGUCAGCAACUAACAAGGGGCAAUCAUUGCUAAGAUUAAGAAUGCUGCUGAGAGACCCUCCUGUAUUGUAUGAGCAUAAAAUAUUUUGAAGUGCUCGGAAGUUGGAUCUUCUCAUAUGGGGCUGGAAUUGCUACUACAAAGGUCAUCUCUGAAGCCCAACUCCCAUAAGACUACGGGCAGAAGCUUCACAAAAUGUUAACUUUUUUACUACUAACGUUUUGAUUACUAGAAGUCAUAAAAUGAUUUCUGCAUAAACAUCCAAACAGGCUACAACUAACAAUUAUUAUAUUUUAACUAUAGAGAAUUAGCCUUUAACAACCAUUCCAACGUAUGUGGAUUAGACUUCUGAUCAUCAGCUGAUCGAUGUAGCAAUCACCAUCUAUUUCAAUUCUCUCUGGGUGUAUAAUCUUUAUAGACUUGUCAGUAAAUGGUAAAAGUAAAUUUUGGAA